rnacentral:tRNA from 1 species
GGCCAGUUAGCUCAGUCGGUUGAGCAUGGUGCUGAUAACACCAAGGUCGUGGGUUCGAUCCCCGCUUGGUCC